CUUCUUCUCACUGGUUCGAAUUCCUUUGUCUUCUUUCCUUCUUCUUCUCACUGAUCCCUUUGUGAUCGUGCUUGAGUUCGUCACUGAUGGUGAUGAAUUCGCACUGGAAUUGCGAAGGGAAUGGUUCAAUGAUGAUGAUUCAGUGAUUAAUCACUGAGAACCGUAAGAAAAUCCAAGAAAAAUGGUUGAAUUUGGAUGAAUUUUGAUGAAUUUGUGAAUUAGGGUUUGUGAUUUUUCUCUGUGUUCUUGAUGAUUUUCUGG
rnacentral:lncRNA from 1 species